GCCCCUCUAAACAGCAGGUACUGGGAAUCUCAGGCUAUUGCUGCAACAGGAAAUGUAUAGGCUCAUCCAGCUUAUAUCUUUCCAAAUUUCAGCACUCCUGAACAUGGCUCUAUGUCUUGCCAUUUCCUGCAGCUGCCCAGACUCUGGGACAAGAACACAUUUCUAUCUGUGGGUCAUGUUUCAACUCCGGCUUUCAGCUCCAUUCAUAUACGAAGCUAACAAAUCAAUCAAGGCGUGUAUGUAUAUUUCUCAGCCCUGCUUGUUUAUGUCAGAUGGGCCUGCCAUAUGUAGUCUCUAUACAUUUUAUGCCCACAUGUUUAUAUCCCACAGAUAAUCCAUCUGAGAUUGAUUUCCACUUUACUUUUAAGUCCCUGGAACUGACAGUGAAAAUAUCCAUCCUGAAACACAAGCCGAAGUUGCGAUUUUUUUUUUCCGCCAAAGAAGAACAAAAAGAGCUAAUUUUUUUUCCCUCUCUUGCAGCUCUGUUAUGGAUCUAUUUAAAGUAAUGUUCCUGAGGCUUGUUACUAGAUUUCGCCGGAGAAGAAAGUUACCAUCGGGACGCUGCGCUUCUCCAGUUUCACGCUCUGUAUUUCCCUCUUGUCCCCUCUUCUCUCCCCCAGCAUCACUAAAAGCAAAAAACGAUGGUGUGAGAGAAACACAAAGAAGGUCCCUUGCAGAGAAACACAUUCUGACAUCAAGCAUUUUCAUCACGGCUGACAGAGAAAUGGCAUGUUCAAUUUGCACUUUAUUUAUAAACGAUAAACAUCUACCCACACAUGCCUACCUACCUUUCAUAUCCCUGGAUCUGAAACCCAAGCGAGGAAAACCACCAAAUGCACAUGAAGCAAGCGAGGGAAUGUGCCGCUGCUUCAUCCAGAGCCUUUAUAAACGGGCAAGCCACAAACACACCACAGGGAAACGUGCUUCCCUGUGUGCCAAAAAUGCCAGGAUGUUAACUCACACAUAAGUGCAACUGUGCUCUGCCUUUUCUAUACCCCAAACGCCGGUGCUGUCUACAGAGGGGCGCUGAUUGAAGUUAGCACGCAGAAUUCAGAGGCCCUGAUACUUUUGUACCCUAAAUAAUUCCUUCAUCGGAAUCGGGAAGAAAGCUCUCUUGUACAAGGGGCAUUCGGAUGUUCAGAGGCAUCGACGUGUGGGAAGAGCAAAUUACGUACUUUGAGGGCUGGGUCCUUAGAAGUUUCAUGGCCCCUGUAUUUUACUUGUUAAAGUGUCCAAAGGCAAACAUCGCCCAUAGUGAUGGUUCGUAAGCAAAUCUUCCGGGGGAUGAAGGAGGGUUGCAGUGUGCAGAAUAGUCUAAAAAACCUGCCAAAGCUAUUAGGGUCCAUUGUGUCUUUCCAGCUGCUCCACAGGCUUACUUUAUCCAUGUGUCAAAAAUGCUUACUAAGUUCUUCUCUUAGAAAGAAAGAAAAAAAAAAAAACAACCCAUGAGUAAGUACACAAUAGUCUUUGUCUGCACCAAGCCUAGCUAAUGCAGGGGCUCUGCACACCGGGAUGGCAGGUGCCCUGUUUCUACACCUAAUUCUUUAACUAGCACUCUACCCUCCCUGGGUGCUCCACAGCGAGCCAGGGGCCGGGGAAAGCUCUGUGCGGAGAAAUAGCUCCAUCAGGCCUCUGUACCCAGUGUCUUGAGAAUGCUCCUCCUCCUCUUCCAAGUCUGUGCCCUCAGGAGUCUCUGGGAGCAUUCUCUAGAUGGAGGUUCACUUAGUCCCCGGAUGCUAACGCCCCUGCUCCAUGGUGAUUCACAGGUUUCACUGCUGGGAGGUGCAUCAAAGAGGCCGAAGCCUUUACAAACACAUGGGUGAGAAGCAAAAAAAAAAAAAAAA